rnacentral:lncRNA from 1 species
AGACCUUGACUUUGGACUACGUAUAGUUUGGAUGUGUUGAGCUCAGAGGGCAUCUAGCCAUUUAGGAUAGCUCCACUGGAAGACUUGAUGAAGGCAGAAAACUACAAUUUUGUUUCUGCUACCAUGGCACUGGAGUAUAUCCAGAGUAAACCAAGAGAUUUGCUGAGCUCCACUUAGUGGGAAGGGAUGCUCAGAGACAAUUGCAGAAGUUUCAACAGUAUCACCUCCUAUGGCAACAAGAAACUCCCCAAAAGCCACCAGGGAUCCAGAUAGAGCUGCCACCCAUCGAGGGAUUCCAGAAAAGCUGCCAUGAAUCAUUUAAAGUGCUGCUGAUCUCAACGGAAGGAAUGACAACUCCUGGGAACUAUGGGCUAUUUUCUCAUGCCAUUGCUGAAGAAUAGCAGCACAUAGAUACAAAAUUCUUUCCCAUUUGGAUCCAUCCGAUCAACUUGCAAAAAGCUAUUCCCUGCAGCUCAGCCUGCCUGCUUAACUCCUUUCUUUAAGAUGGCAUUGAAAAAAGUUCAGCAGCUUUCUCUGUGCAUUUGGGAGAAGUAAGCAACCAAAAGAUUCUGUCGAGAGAGAAGGCAACAGCAUGCAAAAUGAGAACUGAAUGUCUCUCUGAAUGA